GGCAGCAGUGGGGAAUAUUGCGCAAUGGGCGAAAGCCUGACGCAGCAACGCCGUGUGAGGGAUGAAGGCUUUCGGGUCGUAAACCUCUGUCGGAAGGGAAGAACGGGCAUUGGUCUAAUAGGCCUUUGUUUUGACGGUACCUUUAGAGGAAGCACCGGCUAACUCCGUGCCAGCAGCCGCGGUAAUACGGAGGGUGCAAGCGUUAUUCGGAAUUACUGGGCGUAAAGCGCACGUAGGCGGCCUUGUAAGUCAGGGGUGAAAUCCCACGGCUCAACCGUGGAACUGCCUUUGAAACUGCAGGGCUUGAAUCCUGGAGAGGGUGGCGGAAUUCCUGGUGUAGGAGUGAAAUCCGUAGAUAUCAGGAGGAACACCGGUGGCGAAGGCGGCCACCUGGACAGGUAUUGACGCUGAGGUGCGAAAGUGUGGGGAGCAAACAGGAUUAGAUACCCUGGUAGUCCACACCGUAAACGAUGGAUACUAGGUGUCGGGGACUUGAUCUUCGGUGCCGUAGCUAACGCGUUAAGUAUCCCGCCUGGGAGUACGGUCCGCAA
rnacentral:rRNA from 1 species